rnacentral:snRNA from 1 species
AUACUUACCUGGCAGGGGAGACACCAUGAUCAAGAAGGCGGUUCAACCAGGGCGAGGCUUGUUCAUUGCACUCCGGCCAUGCUGACCCCUGUGAAUUCCCCAAAUGCGGGAAUCUCGACUGCAUAAUUUACGGUAGUGGGGGACUGCGUUCGCGCUCUCCCCUG